CCCAGACUCCUACGGGAGGCAGCAGUGGGGGAUAUUGCACAAUGGGGGAAACCCUGAUGCAGCGAUGCCGCGUGAAUGAAGACGGCCUUCGGGUUGUAAAGUUCUGUCGCAGGGGACGAAAAUGACGGUACCCUGCAAGAAAGCUCCGGCUAACUACGUGCCAGCAGCCGCGGUAAUACGUAGGGAGCGAGCGUUGUCCGGAAUUACUGGGUGUAAAGGGAGCGUAGGCGGGCGAGAAAGUUGAAUGUUAAAUCUACCGGCUUAACUGGUAGCUGCGUUCAAAACUUCUUGUCUUGAGUGAAGUAGAGGCAGGCGGAAUUCCUAGUGUAGCGGUGAAAUGCGUAGAUAUUAGGAGGAACACCAGUGGCGAAGGCGGCCUGCUGGGCUUUAACUGACGCUGAGGCUCGAAAGCGUGGGGAGCAAACAGGAUUAGAUACCCCGGUAAGA
rnacentral:rRNA from 1 species